CGGGUGCGUAACACGUGUGCAACCUGCCUUUAUCUGGGGGAUAGCCUUUCGAAAGGAAGAUUAAUACUCCAUAGUAUAUUGAACGGCAUCGUUUAAUAUUGAAAGCUCCGGCGGAUAGAGAUGGGCACGCGCAAGAUUAGCUAGUUGGUGAGGUAACGGCUCACCAAGGCGAUGAUCUUUAGGGGGCCUGAGAGGGUGAUCCCCCACACUGGUACUGAGACACGGACCAG
rnacentral:rRNA from 1 species